AGAACGAACGCUGGCGGCAGGCUUAACACAUGCAAGUCGAACGCCCCGCAAGGGGAGUGGCAGACGGGUGAGUAACGCGUGGGAAUCUACCCAGUUCUACGGAAUAACACAGGGAAACUUGUGCUAAUACCGUAUACGCCCUACGGGGGAAAGAUUUAUCGGGAUUGGAUGAGCCCGCGUUGGAUUAGCUAGUUGGUAGGGUAACGGCCUACCAAGGCGACGAUCCGUAGCUGGUCUGAGAGGACGACCAGCCACACUGGGACUGAGACACGGCCCAGACUCCUACGGGAGGCAGCAGUGGGGAAUAUUGGACAAUGGGGGAAACCCUGAUCCAGCGACGCCGCGUGUGUGAAGAAGGCCUGCGGGUUGUAAAGCACUUUUAGUGGGGAUGAAAAGCCUAGGGCUAAUACCCUUGGGUCUUGACCUAACCAAAGAAAAGCACCGGCUAACUCUGUGCCAGCAGCCGC
rnacentral:rRNA from 1 species